rnacentral:tRNA from 1 species
GUCCCUAUCGUCUAGCCCGGUUAGGACACUGCCUUCUCAAGGUAGAAACUGGGGUUCGAAUCCCUGUGGGGACGCCA